GCGGCUUUAGCUCACUUGGGAGAGCGCCAGACUGAAGACCAAAAAAAAACUUCAUCCAACAUCCAUUGAUUGAAAUGGAGUAAUCUGGAGGCACUGUGUUCGAUCCACAGAAGCCGCA